UUUUUUCAUUAAUUUUGUAUUGUCAUUGGGGAGAAUAAACCCACCAAUUCCAAAUUAUUGAAAUCAAUAUCAGUUAACAUAUGAAAUGUUUCAUGUAUUGGGGAAUAGGGCAUCCGAAGACACCACAAAUUUAGUUUAAAGUCCGUGGGACGCAAAAGUCAGACUUGACCCGAAAGUCGCAUCCUUCUCUUGUUUUUUUAACAGGUACUGAUUCAUACUAAUCACUAGGAUCAAUAUAAUUCAAGUCUCUGAGAAAAAGAGGUGUGGUAAUGAUCCUUCCGCAGGUUCACCUACGGAAA
rnacentral:misc_RNA from 1 species